GCCUCUGAAGAGCCUCAGAUUUGAGAAAGGCUAUACUUUCCCUUGCAAGUCUGUUUUAACACAGCUGUCUGUAGGUCUUGUUCUGCUGUAACACUGAUGUAAAGCUGUUGCCAACAAAGGAUUUGUUUCUGAUUUAUAAGACUGGAAAUGUUCUAUCUCUUUCCUCUCUUCAUUGCUGUCUUUGCUUUCCUUUGCCUUUUUUCAGUUUCACAUUGAGUUUAAGGACUAGUAAAUAAACUCAUUCAAGCUUCUGUACAUCAGCCACAGGAUAUUGGCCUCUGCUGAGCCCAAAGGCUUCUCUCUGGGUGAAUAAUAUCUUCCAGGAAACACCUGAUCUCACUUUGAAGGCAGCAAAAGAGGGAGACCCUGCCACUUCUUUGCCAGCUUGCCUGCAUUUUCCUAUCCUAUUUAUUCAGAGUCUCACUGCAAUCCCUUCUGCAGUUGCCUUAUGUUUUAUGGAGUGGCUGAAGAGUAUAUGAUGUAAUUAUGAGAAAAUCUUUUUGGAAGCAUCAGGUGAGUGAGAUACACAGGAUUGCUGGAAGAACCAGAGCAAAUAUGCAUUAGAGCUUCUGGAAGCACAGCAUGCCAAGUCACAUACUGCACUGCUCAAAGUCCACUGGAAUUCUGAGAAACAGGAAACACUAAAUUUACCCUGAAAAUCCCUGUUCUUCAGACAUAAACAAAGUUCUACAAUCUGCCCAGCCUUCUGUGAGUCAUCUCUACAUAAUACUCUUUAAGGAAAACUUGACUAAAACACAGUGUCCAGCAAAUAUCAAACUAGUAAUGAAUACAUGUUCCAUGAGCUAUUGUAAAGUCUUAUGUAUUUCACUGGCAGUGAAACACUCCACCCCACGAACUGAGCAUAAGAUGGGUGGCCAGGCUUAGAAGUGCCUCAAGCUUGGCUUUGCAAGGUGGGCAGGAUGGCCUUCCCACUCUGUAGGACGUAUUCAGGACUGAAGAAGUCCUGCCUUGGCAGGAGUGUCAGCCCAGAAUGCCAGGCCAGCUCAAGGCCCAUUUGAAUACUCAUCCAUACUGGCAAAGCUUUGCA